rnacentral:rRNA from 1 species
UACGUAGGGGGCAAGCGUUGUCCGGAAUCAUUGGGCGUAAAGAGCGUGUAGGCGGCCAGAAAAGUCCGCUGUGAAAACUCGAGGCUCAACUUCGAGCUGUCGGUGGAAACUUUCUGGCUAGAGUCCGGAAGAGGAGAAUGGAAUUCCUGGUGUAGCGGUGAAAUGCGCAGAUAUCAGGAAGAACACCCGUGGCGAAGGCGGUUCUCUGGGACGGUACUGAUGCUGAGACGCGAAAGCGUGGGGAGCGAACAGG